GGAAGUAAAAGCGUAACAAGGUUUCCGUAGGUGAACCUGCGGAAGGAUCAUUAAUGUAACCGGACCGUUCCUUUGCCGUAAAACGCACUGGAUUGGAAAGGGAGAUAUCAUACACCCUAUGUUUAUUUACUUUUGUUGCUUUGGUGGGCCGUCCUUUACGGCGUCGGCCUCGGCUGAUCGCGCCCGCCAGAGGACCCAAACUCUUUUAUUAGUGAUGUCUGAGUACUAUAUAAUAGUUAAAACUUUCAACAACGGAUCUCUUGGUUCUG
rnacentral:misc_RNA from 1 species